rfam:Legionella drancourtii LLAP12 genomic scaffold scf_27, whole genome shotgun sequence.
GAUGAUAGACACCAUCGGUGUCCAAACCACUUCAAGCUGCUCUUGUUAAGAGCAGGGGUGGUGAGCGUUGAAGAAAAGCCGGGAACACUCGGCAGGU